GACGAACGCUGGCGGCGUGCUUAACACAUGCAAGUCGAACGGAAAGGCCCUGCUUUUGUGGGGUGCUCGAGUGGCGAACGGGUGAGUAACACGUGAGUAACCUGCCCUUGACUUUGGGAUAACUUCAGGAAACUGGGGCUAAUACCGGAUAGGAGCUCCUGCUGCAUGGUGGGGGGUGGAAAGUUUCGGCGGUUGGGGAUGGACUCGCGGCUUAUCAGCUUGUUGGUGGGGUAGUGGCUUACCAAGGCUUUGACGGGUAGCCGGCCUGAGAGGGUGACCGGCCACAUUGGGACUGAGAUACGGCGCAGACUCCUACGGGAGGCAGCAGUGGGGAAUAUUGCACAAUGGGAGGAAGCCUGAUGCAGCAACGCCGCGUGCGGGAUGACGGCCUUCGGGUUGUAAACCGCUUUCGCCUGUGACGAAGCGUGAGUGACGGUAAUGGGUAAAGAAGCACCGGCUAACUACGUG
rnacentral:rRNA from 1 species